AGGAACAUGCAUUUUGUGAAAAAAUCAAUCAAAAAUAACUAAAUAAACAAAUAUAAUUUAAAAAAAACAAUUGCUAGUUACACCAACACUCUCGACUAAAAAAAAUAAUAAAUUAACUCAUUUUGUACUGUUCCACGUGCUCUACCAUAGCAUCGAUUGCCUUUUUGAAAAGUUCCAAUUGAUCCAACGGGAAAUUCAACCUGUUCUUAAUGUCCCCCGUGUCACUGCUCUUCCGAAUUCCAAUAUACUGUACUCUUCUGUUAUCUCAAGAUACAGGCCUCUUCCUACGUUGAUUGAGUAUUGCGGUACUUUCAAACCGUCUUCUAUCUGAUCCUCGAAGUUCAAAUUGAACUUCGGCAAUUUAGGAUGCAGUGUGGGCGUCGGACGAGUUCCCUUUUUACAUGGAGUUAUAAAAUCCUCGUCUAUAUCAUCAAAGCUACGUUUCUUUGUAUCAAAACGUUUUUUUGCUAAAAAAUACAGAUCGUCUUCAAUGAACAUUAUUAUUAUCCACAGGAUUAAAAUUGACGAAACCGAUCGGGAGAGAUUAAAAUUUAUCAGAAUAUAUGAAAAGUGACAAGAAACAAUUAUAUAUGCCCGCUUGUUGACGUCAUGAAACCUAAGACGCUGAUUGGUUAAGGGAGAAAAAACUUGGAUGGAAAGUAGAACACGCUACACUAUCGUCCAAGAAGUUGGACCAAGUUCUUGGAUGGUUGUUUACACGAUCCAAGCUCAAAGCAAAACAAGUUUCCAUCAAUAUCAAUCAAUCUCUGUCCAUGAAAUUGGAUCGUGUAAACAUGCCUUAAGUUUCUGAACUAAUGGAUUUUGACGCAAAAGCCCAAAUAUAUCGUGUUAAGUGGUCAAUAAUUAAAGUUAAAUAUUUUUUAGUUGAAUUAUAGUAAUUUAAUCCACCAACACUGUCUAUUGCUAGUAAGUCAUAAGACUGGUAAGGAUUGUAAUAAUCCAAAUCUUUUUUGUCUCGACUUUUUAAUUUAGUUGGCAAGUUUGACAAUGUUUACAUAUUUAGUUACAUCUGAAGUUAUGUUAUUCCAAUAAUUAACAGGUGCUAUUAAGUUAAUCAUUUUUUGAAUUCCAGGAUGAUUAAAUUUAUCAUGAGCAAUUUGCAGUAAUUUUAAUCUUAACGAAAAUGGAACAACUAUUUUAGUAAAACCUUUUUUACGUACACAUAAAACAUUAUAAAUAUCAAUAAAAUUACCUUGCAAGUUAUCUUUCCUUUGAGCUUCUCUUAUUUCAUCCAAUUUUAACAAAUGGGAUACAUGAACAUUAUUAUUAUUACUAUUAAUGUUACCUGUAUUUCUUUAUCAACAUAAAUUUUAGUACUGAUAGAAUUUAAAUUAACUUGGGUAAAUUGAUUUACACAAAUUGGUAAAUGUGAUUCAAAAUCAGUUUGAGUUUGUUUACAUUCAAACUGACUAUUUACACUUUCAAUAAACGAAUCAGCAUCAGGAU